GAGUUUGAUCGUGGCUCAGAUUGAACGCUGGCGGCAUGCCUUACACAUGCAAGUCGAACGGUAACAGGUCUUCGGAUGCUGACGAGUGGCGAACGGGUGAGUAAUACAUCGGAACGUGCCCAGACGUGGGGGGAUAACGAGGCGAAAGCUUUGCUAAUACCGCAUACGAUCUAAGGAUGAAAGCAGGGGACCGCAAGGCCUUGCGCGUUUGGAGCGGCCGAUGGCAGAUUAGGUAGUUGGUGGGAUAAAAGCUUACCAAGCCGACGAUCUGUAGCUGGUCUGAGAGGACGACCAGCCACACUGGGACUGAGACACGGCCCAGACUCCUACGGGAGGCAGCAGUGGGGAAUUUUGGACAAUGGGCGAAAGCCUGAUCCAGCAAUGCCGCGUGCAGGAUGAAGGCCUCGGUUGUAACGU
rnacentral:rRNA from 1 species